AACACGUAUGCCAACCUGCCCUUUACUCGGGGAUAGCCUUUCGAAAGAAAGAUUAAUACCCGAUGGCAUAAUGAUUCCGCAUGGUUUCAUUAUUAAAGGAUUCCGGUAAAGGAUGGGGAUGCGUUCCAUUAGGUUGUUGGUGAGGUAACGGCUCACCAAGCCUUCGAUGGAUAGGGGUUCUGAGAGGAAGGUCCCCCACAUUGGAACUGAGACACGGUCCAAACUCCUACGGGAGGCAGCAGUGAGGAAUAUUGGUCAAUGGGCGCUAGCCUGAACCAGCCAAGUAGCGUGAAGGAUGAAGGCUCUAUGGGUCGUAAACUUCUUUUAUAUAAGAAUAAAGUGCAGUAUGUAUACUGUUUUGUAUGUAUUAUAUGAAUAAGGAUCGGCUAACUCCGUGCCAGCAGCCGCGGUAAUACGGAGGAUCCGAGCGUUAUCCGGAUUUAUUGGGUUUAAAGGGAGCGUAGGUGGACUGGUAAGUCAGUUGUGAAAGUUUGCGGCUCAACCGUAAAAUUGCAGUUGAUACUGUCAGUCUUGAGUACAGUAGAGGUGGGCGGAAUUCGUGGUGUAGCGGUGAAAUGCUUAGAUAUCACGAAGAACUCCGAUUGCGAAGGCAGCUCACUGGACUGCAACUGACACUGAUGCUCGAAAGUGUGGGUAUCAAACAGGAUUAGAUACCCUGGUAGUCCACACAGUAAACGAUGAAUACUCGCUGUUUGCGAUAUACAGUAAGCGGCCAAGCGAAAGCAUUAAGUAUUCCACCUGGGGAGUACGCCGGCAACGGUGAAACUCAAAGGAAUUGACGGGGGGCCCGCACAAGCGGAGGAACAUGUGGUUUAAUUCGAUGAUACGCGAGGAACCUUAUCCGGGCUUAAAUUGCAGUGGAAAUGAUGUGGGAAACAUGUCAGUGAGCAAUCACUCGCUGUGACGU
rnacentral:rRNA from 1 species